GAUACGCGAAGAACCGUUACCAGGUCUUGACAGUCCCCGCGAUGCUUUAAGAGAUAAAGCGGAGGUAUUCGGGAGACAGGUGGUGCAUGGUUGUCGUCAGCUCGUGUCGUGAGAUGUUGGGUUAAGUCCCGCAACGAGCGCAACCCUAUUGCUAGUUACCAUCAUUAAGUUGGGACUCUAGCGAGACUGGCCAGUGAUAAACUGGAGGAAGGUGGGGAGUGACGUCAAAUCAUCAUGCCCCUUAUGACCUGGGCUACAAACGUGAUACAAUGGCUGGAACAAAGGGAUGCGAAGCAGUGAUGUGGAGCGAAACCCAUAAAAACAGUCUCAGUUCGGAUUGAAGUCUGCAACUCGACUUCAUGAAGUCGGAAUCGCUAGUAAUCGCGGAUCAGAACGCCGCGGUGAAUACGUUCUCGGGUUU
rnacentral:rRNA from 1 species